GACGAACGCUGGCGGCACGCCUAACACAUGCCAGUCGAACGGACUUAAAAGAGCUUGCUUUGUUAAGUGAGUGGCGGACGGGUGAGUAACACGUGAGCAACCUGCCUCUGAGAGGGGGAUAGCUUCUGGAAACGGAGGGUAAUACCCGAUAAAAUAUAAAUAUCGCAUGAUAGAUAUAGAAAAGCAAUUCGCUCAGAGAUGGGCUCGCGGCUGCUUAGAUAGUUGGUGGGGUAACGGCUCACCAAGGCGGUGACCAGUAGCCGGACGGAGAGGGUGAACGGCCGCAUUGGGAAUACGGCACAGACCAGACUGCUACGGGACGCAGGAGUGGGUAAUAUUGUAGAAUGGAGCCAACUCUGAUGCAGCCAUGCCGGGUAGAAGAAGAAGGUGUUCGGAUUGUACUCUCCUUUGAUCCGGAGCGAUAAUGACGGUAACUGAUGAAAAAGCUCCGGCUAACUACGUG
rnacentral:rRNA from 1 species